rnacentral:rRNA from 1 species
CAGCCGCCACGGGAAUACGUAGGGUGCGAGCGUUAAUCGGAAUUACUGGGCGUAAAGCGUGCGCAGGCGGUUUUGUAAGACAGAGGUGAAAUCCCCGGGCUCAACCUGGGAACUGCCUUUGUGACUGCAAGGCUAGAGUACGGCAGAGGGGGAUGGAAUUCCGCGUGUAGCAGUGAAAUGCGUAGAUAUGCGGAGGAACACCGAUGGCGAAGGCAAUCCCCUGGGCCUGUACUGACGCUCAUGCACGAAAGCGUGGGGAGCAAACAGGAUUAGAGACCCCAGUAGUCCCUGUCUCUUAUAC